rnacentral:rRNA from 1 species
UACAGAGGGGGCAAGCGUUGUUCGGAAUUACUGGGCGUAAAGAGCGCGCAGGCGGUCGAUCAAGUCGAGUGUGAAAGCCCCCGGCUCAACUGGGGAGGGUCAUUCGAUACUGAUCGACUCGAAGGCAGGAGAGGGUAGUGGAAUUCCCGGUGUAGUGGUGAAAUGCGUAGAUAUCGGGAGGAACACCAGUGGCGAAGGCGACUACCUGGCCUGUUCUUGACGCUGAGGCGCGAAAGCUAGGGGAGCAAACGGGG